GCCGGAUUAGCUCAGUUGGCCAGAGCGCUCGAUUUGUAAUCGAGAUGUCGCGAGUUCGAAUCCCGCAUCCGGCA
rnacentral:tRNA from 1 species